rnacentral:rRNA from 1 species
GAUGAACGCUGGCGGCGUGCCUAAUACAUGCAAGUCGAGCGAACAGGCGAGGAGCUUGCUCCUCUGACGUUAGCGGCGGACGGGUGAGUAACACGUGGAUAACCUACCUAUAAGACUGGGAUAACUUCGGGAAACCGGAGCUAAUACCGGAUAAUAUAUUGAACCGCAUGGUUCAAUAGUGAAAGACGGUUUUGCUGUCACUUAUAGAUGGAUCCGCGCCGCAUUAGCUAGUUGGUAAGGUAACGGCUUACCAAGGCAACGAUGCGUAGCCGACCUGAGAGGGUGAUCGGCCACACUGGAACUGAGACACGGUCCAGACUCCUACGGGAGGCAGCAGUAGGGAAUCUUCCGCAAUGGGCGAAAGCCUGACGGAGCAACGCCGCGUGAGUGAUGAAGGUCUUCGGAUCGUAAAACUCUGUUAUUAGGGAAGAACAAAUGUGUAAGUAACUAUGCACGUCUUGACGGUACCUAAUCAGAAAGCCACGGCUAACUA